AUGUGCUAUAUAUUCUGUGUUAGAGCAGAAACAGGAGAUGAACACCAAGACGGAAACUAUUGGCAGCUGAUCCAGUGAAACUUCAGUCUGCCUCUUGUAGCCUUACUGGAUGAUUUACAGUCAGAGAGAGAUACCUGCCAACAGAGAUACAGGAGAAAAGUGUUAUGUGAAUGGAGAACUUGAGUGAAUGUUGAAGCUGUUAAAAAAAGAAGUAUUCAAGAGAUUACAUAAGUGAUGGGAUCAUGACUUUUUUUAUAACUGUCAGUGCUUAACCAUGAUGUGUAUGUUGUUUGUUGAGUCAUAUGCAAGUGCUGUGUCUGUGUUGAAUGAAUACUUAUUUAUGUACUUGUAAAUGUAGUUUUCUUGUCUUUCAGAGUAUUUGAAGUGUUUUUCUUGAUAUUCUUGACAUUUAUCAAGUGAAAAUGUGUGAGAAUGUUGGAUGUCAUUAGGUUGUUGCUUUUACAUGUUUGCAACAAAUAAAUGUUUCACAUAGUG
rnacentral:misc_RNA from 1 species